rnacentral:rRNA from 1 species
UACGUAGGGGGCAAGCGUUGUCCGGAUUCAUUGGGCGUAAAGAGCUCGUAGGCGGUUCAGCAAGUCGGGUGUGAAACCUCCAGGCUCAACCUGGAGACGCCACCCGAUACUGCUGUGACUUGAGUCCGGUAGGGGACCACGGAAUUCCUGGUGUAGCGGUGAAAUGCGCAGAUAUCAGGAGGAACACCAAUGGCGAAGGCAGCUCGCUGGGACGGUACUGACGCUGCGACGCGAAAGCGUGGGGAGCAAACAGG